GGUAAUCCUGGAGUGGGGGAUAGCCCGGCGAAAGCCGGAUUAAUACCGCAUACGAUCCCUGGAUGAAAAUCUGGGGAUGAAAGUGGGGGACCGCAAGGCCUCACGCUCAAGGAGCGGCCGAUGUCCGAUUAGCUAGUUGGUGAGGUAAAGGCUCACCAAGGCGACGAUCGGUAGCUGGUCUGAGAGGAUGAUCAGCCACACUGGGACUGAGACACGGCCCAG
rnacentral:rRNA from 1 species